rnacentral:rRNA from 1 species
GAUGAACGCUGGCGGCGUGCCUAAUACAUGCAAGUCGAGCGAACGGACGAGAAGCUUGCUUCUCUGAUGUUAGCGGCGGACGGGUGAGUAACACGUGGAUAACCUACCUAUAAGACUGGGAUAACUUCGGGAAACCGGAGCUAAUACCGGAUAAUAUUUUGAACCGCAUGGUUCAAAAGUGAAAGACGGUCUUUCUGUCACUUAUAGAUGGAUCCGCGCUGCAUUAGCUAGUUGGUAAGGUAACGGCUUACCAAGGCAACGAUGCAUAGCCGACCUGAGAGGGUGAUCGGCCACACUGGAACUGAGACACGGUCCAGACUCCUACGGGAGGCAGCAGUAGGGAAUCUUCCGCAAUGGGCGAAAGCCUGACGGAGCAACGCCGCGUGAGUGAUGAAGGUCUUCGGAUCGUAAAACUCUGUUAUUAGGGAAGAACAUAUGUGUAAGUAACUGUGAACAUCUUGACGGUACCUAAUCAGAAAGCCACGGCUAACUACGUG